rnacentral:rRNA from 1 species
UACGGAGGGGGCAAGCGUUGUUCGGAAUUACUGGGCGUAAAGGGCGCGUAGGCGGCCUUCUAAGUCGAACGUGAAAUCCCCGGGCUCAACCCGGGAACUGCGUCCGAUACUGGAAGGCUUGAAUCCGGGAGAGGGAUGUGGAAUUCCAGGUGUAGCGGUGAAAUGCGUAGAUAUCUGGAGGAACACCGGUGGCGAAGGCGGCCAACUGGACAGAUACUGACGCUGAGACACGAAAGCGUGGGGAGCAAACAGG